UACGAGGGGGGCGAGCGUUGUUCGGAAUUAUUGGGCGUAAAGGGCCCGCAGGCGGGAGGGCGCGUUUGGUGUGACAGCUCGUGGCUCCACUACGAGAGGAUACCAAAGACGGCCGUUCUUGAGGGCCAGAGAGGGACCUGGAAGUCCGGGUGGAGCGGUGAAAUGCGUAGAGAUCCGGAGGAACACCGAAAGCGAAGGCAGGGUCCUGGCUGGUACCUGACGCUCGUGGGCGAAAGCUAGGGGAGCAAACAGG
rnacentral:rRNA from 1 species